AUAAUUUAUCAAUUGAAUGUCAAUUAGAUAUGUUCGAUAAAGCCAUUUUACCAGUAUUACUUUACAGUUCAGAGAUCUGGGGUUUUGAAAAUUUAGAUGUUUUAGAAAAAGUACACUUGCGUUUUUGCAAGAUCAUAUUAAACCUAAAGCAGACAACGCCAAAUAGCAUUAUUUAUGGAGAACUCGGACGAUUUCCGAUCUCGCUUACAGUUAAAAUGCGAAUGAUAAAAUUUUGGUGUAGAUUAGUAAAUGGUGAAGAGGAAACAAUC
rnacentral:lncRNA from 1 species